GCGCCUGUAGCUCAGGUGGACAGAGCACCGGCCUCCGGAGCCGGGUGUCAGAGGUUCGAGUCCUCUCAGGCGCGCCA
rnacentral:tRNA from 1 species